rnacentral:rRNA from 1 species
UACGUAGGUGGCAAGCGUUGUCCGGAAUUACUGGGUGUAAAGCGCGUGUUGGCGGCAGACCAAGUCGGCGGUGAAAGCGCCCGGCUCAACUGGGCGAGGUCCGUGGAAACUGGUCAGCUGGAGGACGGUAGAGGCGAGUGGAAUUCCCGGUGUAGUGGUGAAAUGCGUAGAGAUCGGGAGGAACACCUGUGGCGAAGGCGGCUCGCUGGGCCGGUCCUGACGCUGAGACGCGAAGACGUGGGGAGCGAACGGG